ensembl:lncRNA
UUCUCCUGGCAGGCUGUGUGUCCUCAGGCAUCCUCUGACCCGAGCGGAGGGGCAGCACUACUUGGCCCAUUCUGGAAGGGCUGUCGUUGUCCCCUGCUCUGCUGUGCUGCUCACUGACAUGCUCAUUUCCAGCCUUACACCUAAUAACCUGUGAGGAAGGCUGUGAUGCCAGUCCUGCUGGCCCUUCCAGGCUGAGCAGCUGCUGAAUUGUUCCAUGCUUUGUUCUGAAGGCCAGGAAGACCCCCUUUGUGCUGUGCUGCCCCAGGAAGUCAGCCACAGGGACCCAAAGCCCUGGGAUCCGUGCUGCAAGUUAAGGCCCAGCACUGCUCCGUGCUCAGGAGGUGGUGACUUGCAGCACACCGUCCUCCUGUGCUCCAGCUCUGCAUCCCAGCCUGGCUGCAGCCACCUGGCUCUCCUCCCCUGCACACCGGGCUUACUGCUGAUGCACGUACGAUGCUUUGCUGCAGAUAGCACCCCGUGGUCUUCCAGAUGCCACUGUUUCUCCCCACCCCACGCCUUCCAGCUUUGUUCUUCCAGACUUGUUCUUCUGGAAAGAGCAACCCAACCUGCUCUUGCUCUCUCCUGUGUCCGGCCACCAGGCGUUUGGCUACAGAGUUUGUAACCUCAGUGCCUUCCUGCCCUGACUUUGUUACUGGGCAGCGUCCACCUUGGCUUUCUGUGUUACCUGCCCAAAGGGGUUUUGGGGAUGUUAUGAAUUGAUGCAUUGUUUAGAGCAGCCUGUUGGAAGGCAUUGUCACUGUUCUAACAGGAGGAGCGCUCCCUUUGUAAUGUCAGGCCAUCGAGAGCGACCUUGAUUUCCUACAUGUAAUUACUGUGAGCAGAGUUUCCUCGUGCCCUCUCCCAGGCUGCUGUCAUUCAUGUCCCAGUGGGGCUGAGCGAUGGCCCGGAGUGCAGGCUGCUCUGCUCUUGGGGGCUCUCUUCACCCUGAUGGUUCCAGCUCCUCCGUUGGUGUGAGCAGCUGCUUGGCCACCUCACAGUGGGCAGUGCUGGUGGCUGCUGAUUCCCAGCCUGCUAUGAUGAGGAUGUGGCUUUGCUCCCUUCGUGUAAAGUGAAUUUAGGGUCAUUUGCUGAUUUCCUUCUGCGGAAACUGAACAUGUGCCAGCAAGCACACCGCUGUCUGUCCCCAGCAGCCCCAGGCUUCAGUGAACCACAGCGCUUUGCCUGCAACCCUGCAGCUCUGUCUGUGUGCUGGCAUCUGUCCUUUGUGGGAUGGAGGUCAGAUGGGGGAGACGGGGUGCAGCAAGGUGGGAGCGGUGAUAACCAUCUCUCUUCUCUUUGCAGGUUCCUUUCCUGCAGGUGAGGGCUCCGUCCCAGUCCCACUCAGGGCAGCACCGUGCUGGGGUGCUGGGCUCCCUCUGAGGAGGGAAAUGGGGCUCUUAAAGCUUCCCUAAAGGCCUGCAGGGAUCUCUGCUUUGACAGCCUUUAAAAGAAUCCACCUGUGGAGCGCUGAGCUGUUCUCCACCUACCGGAUUAAGGUUGGUUUGACAUGUGUAAUGGCCACAACAGGCACAGAGCGUUCCUCGUCUGCCUGCAGCCCCUGUGACGCCGCAGGAUGGCCGGG